GACGAACGCUGGCGGCGUGCUUAACACAUGCAAGUCGUACGGUAAGGCCCUUUCGGGGGUACACGAGUGGCGAACGGGUGAGUAACACGGGAGUAACCUGCCCACAACUUUGGGAUAACGCUAGGAAACUGGUGCUAAUACUGGAUAUGUGCUCCUGCUGCAUGGUGGGGGUUGGAAAGCUCCGGCGGUUGUGGAUGGACUCGCGGCCUAUCAGCUUGUUGGUGGGGUAGUGGCCUACCAAGGCGGCGACGGGUAGCCGGCCUGAGAGGGUGACCGGCCACCUUGGGACUGAGAUACGGCCCAGACUCCUACGGGAGGCAGCAGUGGGGAAUAUUGCACAAUGGGCGCAAGCCUGAUGCAGCAACGCCGCGUGCGGGAUGACGGCCUUCGGGUUGUAAACCGCUUUCAGCAGGGACGAAGCUUUUUGUGACGGUACCUGCAGAAGAAGCACCGGCUAACUACGUG
rnacentral:rRNA from 1 species